UACGUAGGUGGCAAGCGUUGUCCGGAUUUAUUGGGCGUAAAGCGAGCGCAGGCGGUUCAUUAAGUCUGAUGUGAAAGCCCCCGGCUCAACCGGGGAGGGUCAUUGGAAACUGGGAGACUUGAGUGCAGAAGAGGAGAGUGGAAUUCCAUGUGUAGCGGUGAAAUGCGUAGAUAUAUGGAGGAACACCAGUGGCGAAGGCGGCUCUCUGGGCUGUAACUGACGCUGAGGCUCGAGAGCGGGGGGAGCGAACAGGAUUAGAUACCCUGGUAGUCCACGCCGUAAACGAUGAGUGCUAAGGGUUGGAGGGUUUCCGCCCUUCAGUGCUGCAGCAAACGCAUUAAGCACUCCGCCUGGGGAGUACGACCGCAAGGUUGAA
rnacentral:rRNA from 1 species